AGCUUUGCACAGUGGCAGUAUUGUAGCCAAUGAGGUUUAUCCAAGGCAUGAUUAUUGCUAAUUGACAUUCAAAAAAA
rnacentral:snRNA from 2 species